AGAUUUGCUGGGGGAAUUGCCUUAUGUUACUAAUCUGUUGCUGUCCAUGUAAACCGUGCUGCAGGCUGAUGGCAGCACAUCAUGCUCAUUUUGGAAGGAGAGGAGGGCAAAAAUAGUGCUAAAAACAUGGAGCGCUCUGCUCAUAUUGCCAUCCUGUUUAAAUAGCUACAGAAAGCUUGAAGAUCAGCCUGCAAACAAAAUCCUCACGGCUCUUCUGAAACCUCAUCAAAACACAGUGAAGUAUGGGAAGACUGUCUGGGGCAUUAUUACCACAGGAAAGAAUAUAGAAAGGAAAUGCCCAGACUGUU